GACGAACGCUGGCGGCGUGCUUAACAAAUGCAAGUCGAACGAGUGGCGAACGGGUGAGUAAUACGUGAGUAACCUGCCCUCUUUUUGGGAUAAGCCUUGGAAACGGGGUCUAAUACCGGAUAAAGGGGGAUGGGCUCGCGGCCUAUGGGCUUGUUGGUGGGGUGAUGGCCUACCAAGGCGGUGAAGGGUAGCCGGCCUGAGAUGGUGACCGGGAAGAUUGGGACGGAGAGACGGCCCAGACUGCUACGGGAGGGAGCAGUGGGGGAUAGUGCACAAUGGGCGAAAGCCUGAUGCAGCGACGCCGCGGGGGGGAUGAAGGCUUUCGGGUUGUAAACCUCUUUAGCUAUCGAAAGGGUAGGUGGAGAAGAAGCGCCGGCUAACUACGUGCCAGCCGCCGCGGUAAUAC
rnacentral:rRNA from 1 species